rnacentral:rRNA from 1 species
UAAGGAAUAUUGGUCAAUGGACGCAAGUCUGAACCAGCCAUGCCGCGUGGAGGAUGAAGGUCCUCUGGAUUGUAAACUUCUUUUAUCUGGGACGAAACACUUCUUUUCUAAGAGGCCUGACGGUACCAGAUGAAUAAGCACCGGCUAACUCCGUGCCAGCAGCCGCGGUAAUACGGAGGGUGCAAGCGUUAUCCGGAUUCACUGGGUUUAAAGGGUGCGUAGGUGGGUAUGUAAGUCAGAGGUGAAAUCCCCGAGCUUAACUUGGGAACUGCCUUUGAUACUAUAUAUCUUGAAUGCCGUAGAGGUAAGCGGAAUAUGUCAUGUAGCGGUGAAAUGCUUAGAUAUGACAUGGAACACCAAUUGCGAAGGCAGCUUACUAUGCGGUUAUUGACACUGAGGCACGAAAGCGUGGGUAGCAAACA